CAAAAAGUAGCUUAAGAUAAAGCAUUCAACUUACAAUUGAAAAAUGUUAGAGACGAACUAACCUAUUUGA
rnacentral:tRNA from 1 species